UACGUAGGGGGCAAGCGUUGUCCGGAUUUAUUGGGCGUAAAGAGCGUGUAGGCGGCCGUACAGGUCAGCUGUGAAAACUCGAGGCUCAACCUCGAGACGUCGGUUGAAACCGUACGGCUAAAGUCCGGAAGAGGAGAGUGGAAUUCCCGGUGUAGCGGUGAAAUGCGCAGAUAUCGGGAAGAACACCCGUGGCGAAGGCGGCUCUCUGGGACGGUACUGACGCUGAGACGCGAAAGCGUGGGGAGCGAACAGG
rnacentral:rRNA from 1 species